UCCUACGGGGGGCAGCAGUGAGGAAUAUUGGUCAAUGGUCGGGAGACUGAACCAGCCAAGCCGCGUGAGGGAUGAAGGUACAGAGUAUCGUAAACCUCUUUUGUCAGGGAACAAAGGCGGGGACGCGUCCCCGGAUGAGUGUACCUGAAGAAAAAGCAUCGGCUAACUCCGUGCCAGCAGCCGCGGUAAUACGGAGGAUGCGAGCGUUAUCCGGAUUUAUUGGGUUUAAAGGGUGCGCAGGCGGAUUUUUAAGUCAGCGGUCAAAUCGUGGGGCUCAACCCCAUCCAGCCGUUGAAACUGGGGAG
rnacentral:rRNA from 1 species